CCUACGGGAGGCAGCAGUGAGGAAUAUUGGUCAAUGGGCGCGAGCCUGAACCAGCCACGUCGCGUGAAGGAUGACUGCCCUACGGGUUGUAAACUUCUUUUAUAAAGGUAUAAAGUGAGGCACUUGUGCCUUUUUGUGUGUACUUUAUGAAUAAGGAUCGGCUAACUCCGUGCCAGCAGCCGCGGUAAUACGGAGGAUUCGAGCGUUAUCCGGAUUGAUUGGGUCUAAAGGGAGCGUAGAUGGGUUGUUAAGUGGGUUGUGAAAGUUUGCGGCUCAACCGUAAAAUUGCAAUUGAUACUGGUAGUCUUGAGUACAGUUGAGGUAGGCGGAAUUCGUGGUGUAGCGGUGGAAUGCUUAGAUAUCACGAAGAACUCCGAUUGCGAAGGCAGCUUACUAAACUGCCACUGACAUUGAUGCUCGAAAGUGUGGGUAUCAAACAGGAUUAGAUACCCUGGUAGUC
rnacentral:rRNA from 1 species